CGGGCAGAGCGCGGAGGCCCGCGCAGGCAGCGCGGCCGCCGGGGAGCUAAAGCACGGGGGAGACCGAGGGGAGUAAGAGGGCGACAGGAACGCCUGGCAGGCGGGCUGCCCUGCCGCGGUGACAGCACUCUCCUCGCCAGCCUCAGCUGCCAGAGGGGCAUCUUUCAUCUCGGGGAUCCUUCCAGCGACGCCUUUGGCACAUUCGCUGCUGUCGCCGUACCCCGCACGGCCGUGAAUUACCGCUGCCCCCCAGGAUAGGGGUCCCCGUGGGAACGUGCUCCGCCGCGGGGGCCCCGCGGGCCUGGAUUUCUACUGGAAGAGAGCCCACGCUCCGACCGAGUGGUCCGCUCCAGUGGGCAGUGCUCCGGCCAUCUCGCCCAAGCCGUGCCUCCAGCACCGGGCAGAGCUAGCGACUGCUCUGACGCAAGGGUAUUUUCCCCUAAAUCGGGUAGAGAUAAAACAAAAACAAUAAAAGUACCUCUGCAACGUC